CGGAAAGGCCCUUUCGGGGGUACUCGAGCGGCGAACGGGUGAGUAACACGUGAGUAAUCUGCCCUUGGCUUCGGGAUAACUACCGGAAACGGUGGCUAAUACCGGAUAUGACGUACCUCGGCAUCGGGUGUGCGUGGAAAGUUUUUUCGGCCAGGGAUGUGCUCGCGGCCUAUCAGCUUGUUGGUGGGGUAAUGGCCUACCAAGGCUUCGACGGGUAGCCGGCCUGAGAGGGUGACCGGCCACACUGGGACUGAGACACGGCCCAGACUCCUACGGGAGGCAGCAGUGGGGAAUAUUGGACAAUGGGCGGAAGCCUGAUCCAGCAACGCCGCGUGAGGGAUGACGGCCUUCGGGUUGUAAACCUCUUUCAGUACCGACGAAGCGCCGAUGAUGGUGGUGACGGUAGGUACAGAAGAAGCACCGGCCAACUACGUGCCAGCAGCCGCGGUAAUACGUAGGGUGCGAGCGUUGUCCGGAAUUAUUGGGCGUAAAGGGCUCGUAGGCGGUUUGUCGCGUCGGGAGUGAAAACACCGGGCUUAACUCGGUGCUUGCUUUCGAUACGGGCAGACUAGAGGCAUGCAGGGGAGAACGGAAUUCCUGGUGUAGCGGUGAAAUGCGCAGAUAUCAGGAGGAACACCGGUGGCGAAGGCGGUUCUCUGGGCAUGUCCUGACGCUGAGGAGCGAAAGUGUGGGGAGCGAACAGGAUUAGAUACCCUGGUAGUCCACACCGU
rnacentral:rRNA from 1 species